CGGCGAUUGCCAUUGUGAGCCGUUGUUGAGGGACAGACGAGUCGUGAAUUUUGAGAUCAGUGGUGCCGAAGCAGUUAAAAACACUGGAGAUAUGUGUAUCGAGAUUUCUCUGCCAAAGCAUUUCCAAUCCAUGGUAUUUAUGUCGGUGUCGAGGUUGAGUGGCACGAAAACUGGCAGAGUCAUAAAGAACUUUACGUGACGGAGAAAAGAAGCUACAACUGAACAUAUUUACUACAA
rnacentral:lncRNA from 13 species